rnacentral:rRNA from 1 species
UACGUAGGAUCCGAGCAUUAUCCGGAGUGACUGGGUGUAAAGAGUUGCGUAGGUGGCAUAAUAAGUAGCUAGUGAAAUCUGGUGGCUCAACCAUUCAGACUAUUAGCUAAACUGUUAAGCUCGAGACCGUUAGGGGUAACUGGAAUUUCUAGUGUAGGGUUGAAAUCCGUAGAUAUUAGAAGGAACACCAAUAGCGUAGGCAGGUUACUGGGACGGCUCUGACACUAAGGCACGAAAGCGUAGGGAGCAAACGGG